UACAGGGGGUGCAAACGUUGCUCGGAAUUAUUGGGCGUAAAGCGCGCGUAGGCGGCUACAUAAGUCGGAUGUGAAAGCCCUCGGCUCAACCGGGGAAGUGCACCCGAAACUGCGUAGCUUGAGUACUGAAGAGGAUCGCGGAAUCCCCAGUGUAGAGGUGAAAUUCGUAGAUAUUGGGAGGAACACCGGCGGCGAAGGCGGCGAUCUGGUCAGAUACUGACGCUGAGGCGCGAAAGCGUGGGGAGCAAACAGG
rnacentral:rRNA from 1 species